UACGUAGGGGGCGAGCGUUGUCCGGAUUUAUUGGGUUUAAAGGGUGCGUAGGCGGUUGAUUAAGUUAGUGGUGAAAACGUCCCGCUCAACGGGAUAUCCGCCAUUGAUACUGAUGAACUUGAGUGUGUUUGAGGAAGUUGGAAUGCGUGGUGUAGCGGUGAAAUACAUAGAUAUCACGCAGAACGCCGAUUGCGAAGGCAGACUUCUAGGACAGGACUGACGCUGAGGCACGAAAGCGUGGGGAGCGAACAGG
rnacentral:rRNA from 1 species